rnacentral:misc_RNA from 1 species
UACGAAGGGGGCUAGCGUUGUUCGGAAUUACUGGGCGUAAAGCGCACGUAGGCGGAUAUUUAAGUCAGGGGUGAAAUCCCGGGGCUCAACCCCGGAACUGCCUCUGAUACUGGGUAUCUAGAGUGUGGAAGAGGUCAGCGGAAUUCCGAGUGUAGAGGUGAAAUUCGUAGAUAUUCGGAGGAACGCCAGUGGCGAAGGCGGCUCACUGGCUCGAUACUGACGCUGAGGUGCGAAAGCGUGGGGAGCAAACAGG